AAUAGUAAAUAAUUAAAAAUAUAAAUAAUGAAAAAUGAAAAAAAAAAAGCGUAGCCCCCCCCUAUAUACGAAGCGCU
rnacentral:rRNA from 12 species